rfam:Trichobilharzia regenti genome assembly, scaffold: TRE_scaffold0047795
GUACUUCUGAAGGGUCCCAAACUAGGACGAAACAGCUGUCCAGUAC